rnacentral:rRNA from 1 species
UACGUAGGUGACAAGCGUUGUCCGGAUUUACUGGGCGUAAAGAGCGCGCAGGCGGUCGAUCAAGUCGAGUGUGAAAGCCCCCGGCUCAACUGGGGAGGGUCAUUCGAUACUGAUCGACUCGAAGGCAGGAGAGGGUAGUGGAAUUCCCGGUGUAGCGGUGAAAUGCGUAGAGAUCGGGAGGAACACCAGAGGCGAAGGCGGCGACCUGGACAGUGACUGACACUCAACUACGAAAGCGUGGGGAGCAAACAGG